GCUUUCAUGGUGUAAACGGUAGCACACUCGGUGCAUAUUCGAGAAAUCCGGGUUCGAGUUCCGGUGAGGGCA
rnacentral:tRNA from 1 species